GGGGGGGGGGGGGGGGGGGGGGGGGGGGGGGGGGUGGGGGGGGAGGGGGGUGGGUGGGUGGGGGGGUGGGGGGGCGGAGGGGUGAGUAGGGCGUGGGUAACGUGCCGUUGGCUGUGGGGUGAGUUCAGGAAACUGGGGCUAAUCCCGGCUAGUAGCUCCUGCGGCAUGGUGGGGGUUGGACAGUUGCGGCGGUGUGGGAUGGACUCGCGGCUUAUCGGCUUUUGUUGGUGGUAGUGGCUUACCAGGGCGUUGACGGGUAUCCGGCCUGAGAGGUUGACCGGCCACAUUGGGACUGAGCUCCCGCCCAGACUCCGACGUGAGGCAGCAGUUGGGAAUAUUGCACAAUGGGCGGAAGCCUGAUGCAGCAACGCCGCGUGCGGGAUGACGGCCUUCGGGUUGUAAACCGCUCUCGCCUGUGACGAAGCGUGAGUGACGGGAAUGGGUAAAGAAGCACCGGCGAACUACGUG
rnacentral:rRNA from 1 species